rnacentral:rRNA from 1 species
AUUGAACGCUGGCGGCAUGCCUUACACAUGCAAGUCGAACGGCAGCACGGGAGCUUGCUCCUGGUGGCGAGUGGCGAACGGGUGAGUAAUGCAUCGGAACGUACCCGGAAGUGGGGGAUAACGUAGCGAAAGUUACGCUAAUACCGCAUAUUCUGUGAGCAGGAAAGAGGGGGAUCGCAAGACCUCUCGCUUUCGGAGCGGCCGAUGUCGGAUUAGCUAGUUGGUGGGGUAAAGGCCUACCAAGGCGACGAUCCGUAGCGGGUCUGAGAGGAUGAUCCGCCACACUGGAACUGGGACACGGUCCAGACUCCUACGGGAGGCAGCAGUGGGGAAUUUUGGACAAUGGGCGAAAGCCUGAUCCAGCCAUGCCGCGUGAGUGAAGAAGGCCUUCGGGUUGUAAAGCUCUUUCGGCUGAAAAGAAAUCGCACAGGCUAAUACCCUGUGUGGAUGACGGUAUCAGCAUAAGAAGCACCGGCUAACUACGUGCCAGCAGCAGCCGCAG